GCUUAAUGCACCAAAUUGGGCACCCGUGUGCUGUGGUCAGAGCAGGUGGGUGACUUAUGCGCGUUGGGCAUGGGAUAAGUGCCUCCCACCGGUGUAAUCGUUUCCACAGGCAGCCUUUGGAGUGCUGUUGUGAAUGUGCACCAAUGCCUCAGCUAUGCCAGCUCAACGCUGGUGGACUCAGCUCUCUCUUGGAAGCCCCUCAGACCUCAACAGUGAAAGCAAAGUGUGUGGCUGUGAUUGCUGUAUGGCGGGGUAACCCGCUGGUUCUACAGUGGAAAACCAGGGAAAAAAAGCCCCACAGAGUACAUCGUGGGAAGGCAGUGAAUAGCAGUCUGUUAAGGUUUAGAGGAAGGUGAAGGAUGGAUUUUUUUUUUGUUUGUUUGGCUUUUGAAGACGUAAUGCUGCCUUAAUGAUUUCCCUGAUGUCUGCAGUUGUAUGCUGUCACAGAGCAGAGAAUAGCUGAUCUCCUCCUAUCCAUUUUACCCAGCGUAAGUCUGUUCAGAGCAGCCUUUAAUGGCCAGCACUGAUCUAACUCUCGUGGCAGGCAAAUGAUCAGUUAUAAUUGCACUGAAAUCAAUGAAUAUAUACUCACACGAAACCGAGAAGAAAAAUGCUUUUGUGAUGUUUUAUAUUUGUAUAGCUGGAAGUCAGCGAUAGCUGCCACAAACACCGUGUGUCCUCUCAGACAAAGCAGUCGAUACCACUCUUAGAGCUGCCCGGAAAGUUUCUUUCUCCAGUUUCAGCAGCUUUUGGUGAGGAAAGCACGAGUAGCUAUCUUGGAAUGAGAGCUAUUCUGGGGAAACUUCUUGUUCCAGUGACUGAUCUCCUCUUUCAUUCUGUGGUCUUCAUCUUAGCUUGCACAUAUACACGCUAUUAGCAGUGGGCAAGGACUGUUCUCUUAAACAGGGACGCUUCCUUAUGUCAUCAGGUGUCGUAGAAUCAUAGGAGCACAAAGGUUGGAAAAGACCCACAGGAUCAUCCAGUCCAACCGUUGCAAGGUGUCACAAGGUUGUUUCUAAUGACCGUGUUUUAAACUGUUGUUCUUUACAUCAGUUGUAGGUGUUCCUCUCUCGGCGUAACAUCGCCUCCUGUUUACGCUUGGUUGUUAUAUUCCAGGUAGUUCUGCUGUGCAAAUGGGGAUUGUAGUUGAGGGGAGGCCUUACGUGGACUGUAGGACUUGUGCUUUCCCUGGAGAGAGGGGAUUCUUGGGAAUGUGGAGCCCCGGGGGCACAAAGCGGGUGUGAUGGAGGGAUGAGUCGGACCUCUGACUGUGACUUUGAUGUGUUGUAUUCGUGUUCUGGGUGUGCUGCGUUCAUUGAGCACCUAGGCGAGCACCUAGCAAGUGAAAAACUCUCCGACAUGGGAUGCCUCUUCUUUCCAGAGCUUAUCCUACUCCUUACUGAAGUGCAGAGCUGUUGGUUGCAUUUCUAGGGGGAACUGCAGUGCAUAAACUUGCCGAGGAAAUCAGCUCUGCCAGGCAACACAGGUUCAUUUCCUGCAUUGUCUCCAAUCCAAUAGUAGUAUGACCUCAUACUUCUAUUUUCACUUUCUGCAUUGUAGAUUUGCAUCAGCAUUUUUAGAGUCUGAAAGUGGAUCAGGAGUAGAGGAGUAGGAACAACCUUGCAUCUUCAUACAUUCCAGUGUCUGCCCGCGCCAAAUUACUUCUAUGGGCGUUGCUGUGGACUGACGUCUUUGUUUCUGUUUCCAGAGGAAAACAAUGUUAUUGCUAAAUUAAGGAAAAUGAAGUUUCUUAGAGGCAGCAGCCUCGAAUAUGAUCACAGUGAGAGCUAAGACUGCUCGCUCAGCUGUUCUCAGGAGCAAAACAAAGCCUUAUGUCAAAGGUGUCUUCAGUUCGGCACUUACUCUGAGCUUCCUUGAAUGGUAAUCGUUAAUAACAUCAUCUUCUCAAGCUAACAGAGCAUGAAAAUUCCUUCAUUUAUAAUCAUUUAGGAGCAUGCUUGAAAUUCUGUCCACUGACACAAACAGCACCGGAGCUGUGCUUUUGCUGAAGACUGGUGGGGGGUUGGGGGGGGGUGAGCAGGCAGGUGGCAAAGGUGUGGAGUAACCAUAAUGGGCUGGAAGAGUAUAAUGCAGUGACUCUCACUCCUAUUUCAUUACAAAAGCCACUGGAGAGAGUAUGUUGGAAAAAAAUACAUGAGGCUUUUGUCUGAAAAAGCGUAGCAGAACUGUAUUGAUCUGUAUAUUUUUAUAUCUCUUGAAUGUAACCAGUCACCAUUUUGUGACCACCACAGGCAUUUGCACUCCUUUGGCGAGACAGCGUUAAUGGCCUUGCAAAAAUAAAAAGUGUUCUCAACAGUGCCUUCAAUUUGGAAACUGAUGCACGGGAAACAUGUAGAAAGGGUGUGGCAAUUCAUGUUUAAAUCCCCCCCCCAAAUUCUGAUUGAGCAUAAACAUUUGUUUUUAAGGUAGCAGGUACGCCUGUUGUAUUCACUAAAUGCAUACAUUCCAGAAUGUCUCGGGCGGAGAAUUAAAACCUGACACCAACGCGGAGUGUUUAGCAGUCUCAGCAGUUGAAAUGAAGUGCAAAGCCACUUGCAAGAACUUGGAAGUGUCAAUGGACUUUGUGUCCAGGAGUGGAGAUCAACAAGCCUAUGACCGGUUGCACUGGUGAAGAAAGUGAUACUAAAACUAGGAAGCUCCAGAGGAAAAGAGCAUCUGAAAUGUAGAGAUGCAGAGAUCUAAGAAAAACUUUCAAAUAUACCUUGUUUGGGUUCAGUUACCGUGGAACUGGAACAUGGUGAAGUUUCAAGCUGAUAACGUGUCCCCUUGAAAUCUACAGAAGCAGGGUUUUCCCCACUACGUAGGGUAACCAUGGCUGAAAUGUGUGGGGCCAGAUCCUUUUCUCAUUCAUGAUGACAAAAAUCCAGACCUGGUGUAUUUUCCUCCUCACAGUGAAGAGAAAGAGAUCACAACAACUCUACUACCUAUCUGCAGCAAAUCCGCAGUUCCUGCUGGAGAGUAUGCUUCUUCCAUUGUGCUGUUCAAAACCGUUACUGUUAAUUGUAUGAUGUCAUCUCUUCCUGUAUCCAUUCUGUGUAUGCUGACUCUAUGAGAAGUACCACUGACAGUGCACGUGCUGGAGCAUAUGCUGCAAGGACCUGCAGCAGAGAAAUCCUCACCUGCAUCUCUUAUCAUGCAGAGGCUGCUUCUGUGUAUGGAUGCUCUGUGUAGCUUGAAUGGCUUGUAAAGGGGAAUUACAACUUAACAGAGAUUACAACUUAACAGAAUUCCACCCUAUAAUGUACAAAGUACAAAAAUAAAGGCUCUUUUUUUUUCAGUUAAAUCCUCUACCAGAAUGGUGCCAAGAAGCAAAGUAAUCAAACGAUUUUUUUGUUGGUGGUGGUGUUUUUUAAAUCUUCUUAGCUAGAAGACAUGUCAGGAGAGCCAGGGGUGGAGAGCCGCAAAAAUGAAGUAGAGGAAUCAUGUGGAAUUUCUUCAAGUAGCGGUCUGGAUGUCUGUGCUUAUUUUAUUUACAAUGAAAUUCAGACUUCAGAAGCGCGCUUGGUUUUCUUCUUUUGUGAUGCUGACAAACUCUGCCUUGGCUUUGUUGUCUAAAGAGGUAGCAGCAAUUAAAAUGUGAUGUGACAGCGACUUCUAUAAACUGUUUUUUGAUGUAAGAAUCAUACCGUAAGAUUUUUUUGACAUGAUGGAAAUUAACAGGGGAAAGGAAAUCUUUCAGUGUUAGCCACAGCUUUCCAAAAGCUCAGCUGGAACUUCUUCCUGCUGGUCAACUCCACUCGCAAUGGAGUGUGGGACUCAAGGCCCAUCCAACGGGUGAAACUCUUCUAUAGAGAAGUUUGACGGUGUUGGUUUGAGUAAAAGGCCUCGGGCAUUCCUGGGGAAUGGAGCAGCUCCUGCUUUUGUGCCAAAAUUUGCUAGUCGUACGUAUGGGCAAAUAGAUCCAGUGAAAGCAAUGAGACUAUACUGAACAGUUGAUCUUGGUUUAUGCAGAAGAGUGGGGCUGGUUUGCACUUCACCUUGGCAUCUCACGGAAUGGGUGAGCUGCUUCCAGCAGCUUUGGCUACAUCCAGAAGGAAGAGCCAUGUUGAGCAGUUUGUGCAUCUUGGCUGUGAGAAAAUGGUCACCGGAGAAGGGGAAAAGUAAAAGAUAAUGCAACGUUUUCUGGAGUGUAAAAGAUUAAAAACAGAAGUAAAACACAACUCACCUCUGUUUUCAAGUGAUAAACUACAAGGAAAGAAAGCUCAGCUUCUACCAGAAACGUAAGAGGGAAGUGUGGCAGCAACUCGGUAGUAUGAUCUGUCUGGGAAGAUGUGAGCUGAGUUUAGGAUCUGAUGCAUGUUGUUCUGAUCUUGACCCUUGGUUCUUGGGUAGCUGUAGUUCCUCAUGGGCGUCGGUACCCGCAGGAGCUGUCUUUGUAGGCCAUUUGUUUGUGUCCUUAUGCCUCGCAAAAUUGUCCUGUAUAACGGCAAUUUGCAUCUAUUGAGUUUUCUCACAAUUGCACUGUUGUACUUGAUUGGUGCCAGAGUGAAAGUUAAAUGAUGGUUGGCCAGUGCUCAGCUGCAGGAUCAUUGUCCCCCCGUAAUCGCUGCCAUAGAGUAGGUCUUGAUCACAGCCCGAAGCAGCAGUCAGCUCUCCUCUUUUCUUUCCUCCUUGAAACACUCUUUGCUUUGGCAUGCGUGUCAAUGAGCGUGGCCAUGUGGCGUUCAACACAAACUCCAGCGAGGCGAGGCUCCCUGAAGAAAGCAGAGCUCUUGGCGGCCCACCAAAGCCCAUCACGGCUUGACAGCUACGCUUUAAUGAAACGGACCGACCAACUUCUCAGCAGGCAGUGUGCCAGCCUAACAGAUGAGCCUGAAUGUGGGCAGCCAGCAACGCAGAUACAUAUGCGUAGAUAUAGAUAUUGUAUGUACAGGCACAAUAAAUUGGGAUCUUUUCAAUUUGGAAAAAGAUGUCCGAGUGGAAGACAGCUCUAAAACCAAGAGCCUUUAAAAAUGUUCCUUUUGAGGAGGGGGUGUACUAGAGUUGCUCCGAGGAGGAUCUGUGCUUUCCUUGUUACUCUCUGCUUGUUGUUUGGCAGAUUAUAUAAUAAACAAAGGAGGCUAUUUAGUCUUUUGAAUCCAGGCACCCUUGUUAUUAUAACCAAGAAUGUGGAGAAUGACGCUUUACUGCAGCGAAUCCCUUUACAAACCUGCUUGAAGCUUGUUUCGGCUCAGAUUCUACCAAGAUGCUCACUACAGCUUGAGAUCAGUGCAAAUCUGUGCAUUUCAUGCUUUUCAUUUUGAAUUAAUUACGGUAUGCGAUACUUUGCAGAGCGAGAGUUGCACAGAAAUCAGUUACGGGACAGAAUGCAACAAAACCUUCUCUGUAGGUACUAGCCUGAAUGCUUCCAAAAUCUGGGCAUGCUUAGCUGGUGAGUAAAUGCCAGGCCCCUUCCAUGGAUGGCAGUCAGCUGCCACAGGUGUGCAGGCUGAGUAGUCAUUGCCCUGCAUCAGUCCUUCGAAGAACUCAGUGUUAGUUGUGUCUCUGCAGAAGGACCAUAGGAAAGCAAAACGACUUGAACUUGUCUAUGGAGAGAUUGGAUUGCAGACGCCUGUGUCUCUUGACACCUCAGCCUAAUUUUAUCGUGCCAGAGAAUUGCCUGGCCUUGCUGUUUCAGGUCACACAGGUACUUGGUUGAAAGUCCAGCUCACGUUAGGAAAGAGCAGUAGUGGAUUGCAAGAUGAAUAGCAUCACAUCCUCAGCUGGAAGCUCCUCUUAAAACUGACUGGUCUGUGGACACAGUUUUCCUUAAGCUCCACAGGGCAAACCAAGGAUCUGUGAUUUUGGGCAAAAUCCAUAACGAGCUCUGAAAGCAGUUUACUUCCUUCAGAGCUGUCUUCAUCAUCCAUAUGGUUAGAAAUUUAUUGGAUUUCUUUUUUUCACUCAGUAUAAAAGUAGAGAUUUAGCUUUAUGAUUCGAGGAGUCUCGCAUUAGACAGAUGAGCAGAAGUUCUGGGGGUAAGAAAUCCCUUUCAGUUUAACCUGGAGGCAUGACAACUGCUUGUUUGACUCCCAGGUGAAGCAGCGCAGUAGCUGCCUUCUGUAUCUGGCUACGGGGCACUGCAAGUUUGGUGGUUUGUAAGCCAGCAGUGCAGAUAGGUCUGUAGGGCCAUCUGGCCCAACAGAGGGGACCAGGCUUUUGGUGGGGGCUGAUCCCCCCGGCAAGACUGCGAUGGGAACGUUUUGAAGAAGGGGCAUAAUGAGGUAAUUUCUUAGGAUCUAGCUUUCAGAAGACAAAGCUUCUUGCAGUAGAAGUGCUGUGGUAUACCUAGUACACAGUCAUAGAAUCAUAGAAUGGUUUGGGUUGGAAGGACCUUUAAGAUCAUUUAGUUCCAACCUCCUGCUAUAGGCAGGGACACCUCCCUCUAGAUCGGGUUGCUCAAAGCCCCAUCCAGCCUGGCCUUGAAUGCUUCCAGGGAGGGGGCAUUCACAGCCUCUCUGGGCAACCUGUUCCAGUGUCUCACCACCUUCACAGUAAAGAAUUUAUGCCUGAUAUCUAGUCUAAAUCUGCCCUUUUCCAGUUUAAAACCAUUUCCCCUUGUCCUGUCGCUAUCUGCCCUUAUGAAAAGUCCCUCCUCAGCUUUCCUGUAGGACCCCUUCAGGCACUGAAAGGCCUCUAUAAGGUCGCCUCAGAGCCUUCUCUUCUCCAGGCUGAAGAGCCCCCCCCCUCUGGACCUGCUCCAGCAGCUCCAUGUCCUUCCUAUGUUGGGUGCUCCAGGACAGAAUUAAUACAGAAUCAAAGAAUCAUAGGGGUUGGAAGGGAUCACAUUUACCAUUCCCUUUCCACACAGGCUAGGGUGAACAUAGCCUUUAAAUCUCAUGUGAUUUUUAUCAGUUUUCUUAUCACCUGCACUCAGCUGCUUCUGAUGGGACUUCACAAAAGACUCCGGUGUUGUCCUGCAAAGGACUGGGAAAGGGCAAAGGCAAAGAAGAGCUGGAUGGAGGAGGACUGUGAAAAAUGGUAGGUUGGAUGGAGAAAAGUUAGGUGUGAAAGGAGGAGGAAAACAAGGCAAAAGCAAAAGGUAGAAGGAAAGAAGAAAGCAAUAGAAAGGAAAACAAUAGAAAGGAAAGAGAGAGAAGAAGAAAAAGAAAAAAAAAAAAGCAACCCAAAACAGAUAAUCAGAUGAAAAAUAUUUCAAUAAUUAUUGAAAAUUAGCACGUGCUCCAACAUGGUUCUUUUUCUCCAUACCUGACAGAGCAGGACUCAUCUUGCAAUGGCUUCUCUGGGGCUACUUGCAUGAGAAAGACGCUUGAGAAGACCUUUACAGGGCGAAGACCGCUAUGCUAAGAGUAGCAGGGUCAAGCUGUAUCUGUUUAUGCCAGCAGAUAGUAGGACGCUGAUUUCCUUUUCAUCAUUGAGUCUGCUGAGGUAGGAAUAUACUUGUCCUCAGUUAAGUGCUGGCAGUGGGAAGAGGCCAGUGAGUUGCUGCAUGUUUCAAGUCUGCAGACAGGCACGUUGAAAGUUGAACUGAUCGCACCCUGCUCUGUGUAACCUUCUGCAAUGAAAGGUGAUACAUACUGUCAAAUACCAUCAUAUUAGAGUUAUUAUUUCUGUGGUUCCCAUUGCUCCAGACAGCUACAGAAGAUUUAAAAGCAAUCAGCAUUCGUGAAGGUGUCAUCAGUCUGCUGUAAAAGACACUUCACUAAUUUUUGCUUAACCCCUGUUUAAAGUAGUCAUAUGAGACUGAUGUUAUUAUGGAUGACUGCGUGAAAGUUGUUUGCGCUCUAAAAGAUAAAUGUUGUACAAGGUUGAUAACUUAAAUGCAGCUCGUUAGUUCAUUUCUCUGCACCAUGGGCUAGGCUGUCCUCCUCGUGGAGAACAUACAUUUUGAAGGGUAUAUUACAUGUGAUAGAGUAUUUGUCCCCUUGUAAUGCUCUCCUACAUUUCCAAAAGGAAUGUUACAUUUCUUAUGUCCUGGAAACCCCGUAUUAUGAUUGCUGUUUGCAUUUACACUAAGGUGUUUCUUAUCUUCCUUUUAAAAGUAAGCUACUAGAAAGAUAAUUAUUCCUUUGCAAUUUGUGACUUUUUUUUUCCUUCUUCUUUCAAUACAUGAAGGCAUGUGGUGGGGCAUAAUGACACUUUUGAUUUGUUGUGAGCAGUCAGAUUUCUGAUGGUGUGCCUGACUAUCAGAUCAAAUGGCCACAGCUUCUUAACCAUAAGUUCUAUUCCAUAUAAUUAAUGUAAUGUUAGUGGCCUUAGUGAGGCAGUGGGCUACAUUACAGUGACUGCGAUGCGUGGAAACCUACCGUGUCUUUCUCUCACAAAAAGGCUCUGCCUGUGCUGUAGAUCCUAUGAAGAAUUUUUAGAGAUACUUGAAAGGAUAAACCACUGUAUAAAUUCAUGAAGUUCAAAGAGAAAAUACCACUCGGGAUAAAAAAAAAAAAAAAAAUGGGAGCUUAGCCCAGCAGCAGCUUAACCAUAAGUGACAGAUCUAGUGCUAAGUCCUGCACCAUCAAUGCAAAUGCCUGUGGGGUUCACCACGUAGCCAAAUGGAAGGACCAGAAGAAGGACUUUGAGAACACUGACCUCAGAGGAGCAGGGAGGGAGGGCACCCUUUUGCUGGUAAGUGAUGCAGGUUCUCUGGGCAAGGCACAAACUGGGAAGAUUUAGGAUGAGUACAACUAGACCUGUCUUCUGUCUUGUAUUUCCUGUGAAAAUGGCUUUUAGAGGCAUGAAUAUGUAUUUGUCUGUAGUACUGUGCAAAUAUUAUGCCAGAAAUGAAGCUGGGAACUACAUGAGUUGGCAGCACUGUUAUUGUAACGUAGGGACACCAGGUCUGAAAGAUACCUUUGAGGACUGAGGGUCGCUAAGUCUCAUUAGAUGUGAGGGUACUUCCCUCUGUGCUGUAUAAUGACAUGAACACUGGAUCAAAGUUGAUCAGCUUCAAGCCAUGAGGGCAGCCCAAAGUUCAGCAACAAGUCUGAUUUAGAGGUGACACUUCCUUCUGUCAUCUCUGUACGUAUCCUGGACCCAAGUGCUUUUAUUUCUCACCAUCCCAUGCCCUCCUAGCUCUACAGAGGAACAUUCCAUAGACUCAGCCCAGCCACUCCUGAUGCUGGCCUCCCUUUUUCUCCCCCAGCACAGGGAUGCUCCCUCCUGUACAACUUCAAGCUCUGCCUGUCUGCCCAUGGAGCUUGGAUUGAAGGAGCCCUCCUGUCUCAGCCAUUGCUGCAUAUUGGCCAUACAUGCAAAUGAUCUCUGUAAAUAAUUUGCACUAUUCGUCCCACAGAACAGCAAAACCUUGAUGGCUGUGGCAGACUGCUGUUGCAUUAUGAGAUGUGUGGGGACAGCUUUAACAGCUGCCCAGGGAAGGGACACAGCAGCGUCUCAGAGCUGCAUUGGUACUGGACGCUGUUCCAGUGCUUACCGCCUUUAUUUCAGACAGCAUCAACAUUUGGAAGGUAGGAAGUUAUGUUGUGUCCAGAACACCUGGCUGUUAAGUGAGAUAUGAACGUGCAGCGGUGAGUGCUCUCCUUGAAAAUAUGUGUGAGGCAGCAGUCACUGUUAAGGCAUGCAGGCUUGUAGGAGGCUGUGUUGUGGCCUCUGGGCCUUUGUUGGCUACCAUAGGCAUAGAAGUGGCUCGCAUUGCUUUUGGACCCCCCCCCCUCUGUUCUGAAGUUAGAGUAUAGAUUGAAGGUACUCCCUUUUUCCCCAUGGUUUUGGUUUUAAGGAGGCUGGAGCCGUGUAUUCUAAGCAGUUGUGGGAGCUUUAGUGACAGCUGUUUUGCUGGAAAGCCUGUAUCUGUCAGUGCCUGUAACAUGAUUUGAUGUAAUCCUUUGGAUUUCCUCAUGCCUAAAAAAGCUGCAGAGUCUUUCUUGCCUACCAAAACACAUUUAACAGCUGAGAUUUUAGCAGUGAAUAUUUCUAAAGUCUACCAUUUUGCAUAUACUCUGCUUGAUGGUCUACUAUUUAUGUAUUUUUAAUACACCUCUCACUUUAGUCUAAACAGCCAGUUAGGGAUGUAGCUUUGGAAAAUAUGAAAAUUUAGGGGGAAAAAAAGGAGCAGAAGUAAAAGAUCACUAGCAGAAACCUUACUAGUCUCAUUUCCUCUAUACUGUUUGCUGCUCAAAACUGAGCAAAAAUAUUUAAAAACCCGAGUUGUCUCUUCUGACAGACUUUAUGCCUAUGAGUCAAUCUCAUCUUGCUACUCAGCUGCUGAGAUUUGUCCUUGAAACCCAAAUUUCCCAUACUUCACUGAUAUGCAUUUAGCAAGACCUUGAGAUUAUGCAAUAGAGGGAGAGAUGAAAACUGCUGCCAAGCAUGCCAGCUGGGCCUGGUUGUCUGGAGCUGAUCAGAAGCUGUCAGUCCACGUGCGGCUCUCCUGCAGGUUAAGAACAGUGGCACUACUGCCCCGGCUGUUGGGAAAGGCAGACUUGGCCAGCACAGAGCAGGGUGCAGGGCUGACAUUCCUAUGACACUGGCAAGAGAUUUGUCACUGUUGUCACGUUUUGUUUGCCCAGAAGGCUUUGCUUUUAUUUCAGGCAGAGAUAAUUGAAAGGAAGCUGUUAUACUGGUGCUGUAGGUCUUGUGCUAUGCUGACCCUUUGAAAAUGCAAGGAUGGAAAGCGGCGGUAAUGGCACCUGAUUAUAAGACAGCCAAAGUCCAGGGCAAUUGAACCUUCUUUUUUUUUUCCAAAGGGACUUGCUAUGGCCCUGCUUAGCAGAGAGAAGAACACAGUGAACAUCGUGCCACUGGUGCUAUGAUUUACACCCCAAUUAGUUGAUAUCGACACAUUUAUCUUUGAUAAGCUACGGACAGAUAAACUCAAUUCAUCACAUCCAAACUGAUCUGAUCCAAAACUGUCAGCAUCCAUUGGGAUGAUUCUCAUGUGGCUCCGGGAGGUAGAGAAAAGUGUGUUUGGUUUUCACGGUGGCAUUUUUAGUGUUCCUUUGUUUGCUUUUCUUUUUAUCAACUUCUUUCACUGAAUUGACAGCAAGUGUUGGCUGUUGCAGUUAGCUCUUCGUGGAUCUGUCUACAUUGAAGGACUGGCUACAGGAUACUGAGCCAGUUUAUGUUUUUUCUGGUGGACUUGGAAUGCAGUAAUCGAGAAUGUGUUGCUUUGUUCACAAAGCCCCAAACCAAAAGAAGAGGUGUUCCUUUUGACACUUUGUCUUUGGCAGGCGCGUAAGAGUGAAGCUCCCUCUUGCCAAAUGCUUGGCUAAAUCUAUAGAAUCUUUUAACCAGGGGUCAAAAAUUCAUUGUGAGUAUUUUUUUUUAUGUUUUACUUCAUAAUUCUGCCUGUGUAUGUCUAGAACUUAAUGCGGUUCCUCACCAGUCAGUAGAGCAAUUUCUGAAAUGUUAUUAAAUGUUAUUUAAAUGGAAGCGUCAACAUACACUCAUAUGCAGUCCUCAAGUAUAAAACCAUUUGUUAGAAUACAUUACGUCAUUACACGAGCAGUUAGGUUGAAAUCUUAGAGCAUUCAGAGGACCUUUACUGUUUUUUAAUGAGAAAAUCCUCCCUUGUUUUGAAAGAGCUGACAGAUGAGACUUUGUUUUGGAAAAUGGCAGCAUCUUGCAUGCUAUGCUUGAAUCAUCAGUGAUGUUAGAUAGCGAGGUGUUUAAGUGGUUUUUGAUAUAUCAGGCUCUGCUCCAUGCUGUCUGUGCAUCUGUAUUAACUGUUUUCUUAAUUAUUGUGUCUUUCUACUUGGCAAAGUCUCAGCAAAAGCACCUACAGCAGUUGCUCCUAAAAAUGCAGCAUUUGUAAAUGGUAACUUGUACUGUUACUCUCAGAAUCGUAGAAUCACAAGGUUGGAAAGGAUCUACAAUAUCAUCUAGUCCAACCAUCCUCCCAUCACUGUUGCUACCACAAGCCACUAAGCCAUACCUCGUAGCUCCUCAUCCAGACGCCUCUUGAACACUGCCAGGGACGGUGACUCCACCACCUCCCUGGGCAGGCCAUUGCAGCGCCUGACCACUCUCUGAGAGAAAAUGUCUUUCCUUAUAUCAAAUCUAAACCUCCCCUGGUGCAACGUGUGGCCAUUUCCUCAGGUCCUGUUUGUCGCCUGGGAGAAGAGGCCAAACCCCUCCUCAUCACAGCCUCCCUUCAGGAAGUUGUAGAGUGCAGUGAGGUCUCCCCUGAACCUCCUCUUCUCCAGACUGAGCAAUCCCAGCUCCCUCAGCCACUCCUCAUAAGACUUGUUUAUUCUGUUGUUUAUUCUGUAUUUAUUCUAUGUUUAAACUCUAUUUUUAAAUCUCCCUUUUAAACAAGAAAAUGCAUGGAACAUCUAUCAAGAAGUACAGCAGAGCGCUACCACAGUCCAGGAGGCCUUACAACAGAAAUCAAAGCGUCAUCUAUGUCUCUUCAUGCAAAAGAACUGUGUAACACACAGCCUAAGCAGCAGAGGUGUAGCUUCAUCAAUUCAUGUUGUUCCACUGAACUUCUUAAAGGAUCCGCUCUGAGUCUGAGCGUGUUCCCUGUGAAGCUACUCACUGUGAAGAACCCAGCACGAACAGCUGGGGCAGGAUCAAACUACACAUGCAUCAGAGAAGGGAAGCAAAUGCCUGAAUAUACAAAUACACACGUGUGCAAAAGCAAGAUGACUGAAUUUCUUAACGUUUUGGAAAGUGAGGUGGAAAGAGAUGAUGGUAGUACAAAAAAACCCACAUCACUAAUCAAUUUCCAGGAAGCUUAUGAGAUUGCUCUGUAUCACAGAAAAUAACUAGAAGGUGAAAGUACUAAGAGCAUGCAUUGAGGUGAUGAGAGGCCCUUUCAAAUGGAGUGGAAUUGUGGAAUCCACGUCUGCAUGAAUCCUUGUUUCAGGAAGGGGGAAUAUUUACAGUGUUGGGAAUUGUUCUUUUCAUCUUGGCGAUUUGGCUGAGAUUGAACUUGUUUCCCACUUGUAAUAUGAGUAAUAUUCAGGCAUCUCUUCUCUCACUGCUGGACUUCAAGUCCUAAAGAGGUGUGAGUUUACUGUUUUAUUUACCAACCAAGUGGAAUUGUCUCCUUUGAUAUUUACCUGCUGCAUCUCUGAGCGCAUUGGCCACCAUUGCAUGUAAUGAUUUGGUUUUGUCAGAUUUAGACCUAUAUAAUAACAGUGUCAAAUAACAAAUGUUUCUGUCAAUUCCCUUUCUGUUUCAACUGUUUCAACAUAAGUAGAAACAAAUGACAUCUUGGAGGCUUUGAGAGCAGAUAGUGGUGACUUCCAAUGGCAAUCUCUGCAUACGGUCCUAACUGCUUUAGCAUGAGUCAAAUGCCAAGUUAACCCCUGGAUAUUGAGAGAAGGCUUCUCUGCCUGAAAAAUAAUUUGUGACUUUGCAUAUUUAGACUCAUGUUUCAUCCACUUAUUUCCUCUUUUCUCAGCACUUCAGAUGAUGAAAAAUAGCUGGCGAAUCUUUUUUGCUUGUUUGUUUUUAAGUACUCUUUUGAACUGACGAGACGUGAAAUCCUUGGACCAAAGGACAGCAUUUGUUAGUAGGUUAUAAGUGUCUGAAAGUAGAAAUGCCAAAUGUGUUUACCUCAGCCAUGAUUUCACUGGCAUAAUAAGAUUUUUUUGCUUUUCUGCAGGACUUCAAGAUUACGUUAGCUUACUUUGAGCUAAAGCCAGAUUUGGGAUUUGGUUGUAGAACAUGCAAGAAGCGAUUUGUGGCUGUAGAAAGUCUCUUCGUUUCCCUUUUUAUGAGAGAAUACUGGCUGGGUUGGGAGCAAGGAACACAAUCCCAACUGGGGGUGCUGGUGGCCGUCCUGUCUGCACCCUGUGCGGCUCCUGAGGAACCCAGCAGUAAUUCUGUUCCGCUUCCCGCGGGCCUGUGCUUUCCUUCCAGGUCCUUUGGCGUUCAUCACCACUGGAGCUAAUGGUGACCAAACGUGCCUGAAGUCAAUGAGCACGCUUCCACAUGAUGCCAUGCUGUUGUUAAGCCCCUGCUAGCAACCUUCAGUAAUUGCAGCGGUAGCACUCAUCAGCUUGUACAGCCUGUACUGAAGGUCACCCACCCCUAUGGUAUGAGCGCCUAAGUAAGCCCUUGUGUUCCCCUCCGUGGGAGCAUCCACAAUGGCUGGAGCUUAACUACUAUCAUUUGAUGAUUCAUUUGCAGUGCUUAUUUUCUAAAAAUUGCAUAGCCUGUUCUCAAAAGCAAAGCAAAGAAAAAAGCAGCUGUUAUGAAAAGAGAGGAAGAAAAACUCCACAUAGAAAACACAAGGGCUUUAAAGAACCAAACCCACAUUAUUAGGGUAGGAAAAAAACAACAAUUUGCCACAUCUUAUCUUUGGAAAAGAUCAAAAAUAGAGUUAUAUUCUACACAAUUAACAGAAACACUUGCGAGUCUUAAGAACAUAUGGAUUUGGAUUCGGUCCUGCCUGGCAUUUCUUACUGUAGUGAGUUUCAUAGAAAACAGGAUAAGGAAUUUUACCCUGUUUUGGAAAGAUAUGCUAUUAUUUUCAGUACUAGUGAAUUUGAGGCAUGUCAUAUGGGCACCGAAGUAAACACACUGCUUUUUAAGUGUAGGAAGCAUCAUUACUGACCGGUCCAAAUGUUGCUGUUGUAUCACUGAAUAUGCAGACCGACUUUGUUGUGCUUUCUUUUAUUGUAGCACAGUUGAUACAGGAAUUGAUUCAAAAAGCAGAGCAUUGGUAUACCUGAAAAAAAAAAAAAUUCUCAGUGCUGCAUAAUGCUUUGCAUUAUACUGACCAGCAAAAAACUAUAGCUGAAACUGAAGCUUCCCAUUAAGGAAUUUCUUAAAAUUUGUGGUAGGAAUUCAUAAUAGAAAUGAAAUAUUUUAACGUCUCCAAAUUCAUUGUUUUCUUUCACCUCACUCUGAACUUAAAUUUUUUUUUCUGCCUGAAAAAGAACUACUCUUCCUCCCCCUCAUAUCUCCCAGUAAGCCUGCUCAGUCCAGAGAUACAUCUGUCUCGAUGUGUCAGAAGCAUGCAGCCUCUGUACCCGGUGGGGAGCUUGUGUUUAGUGCUGAGAAGAUGCACUGCUCCAAAGCAGCCCUGUGGUUCACUCGACAAGGCACCAAAAUUAGAAGUCCAGAGUGGUGCUUCAGAUAACAGCUUAUCCCAAUACAAAACACCGUCUGCUCGGAAUGUGAUAUAUUUUCCUGCGUGAAUCAAACCUGGCUUUUAGUGCAGUACUUUAUUUGGAUUUCGAUGAUGAAAGAUUUCUGUUUUCAGUCUUGGAUACAGCGCUUCCUUGGAGAACUCCAUCUGUUGUAUUUGGUUCUGCUGACCAACUCUCUUCUGAGGCUCUCCAAUUCAUGACUUUUACCUGUGCAUAUCUUUGUUGUGAAGGAUUCUCUCCUGAGAUGUGCUCCUUGUUGUUACAUGCAGGGAAGCGUGGAACCAGUCUCAAUCGUCUCAAGGUGGAAGAAAGGCAUCACGAUGAGCUGAUAAAUGUUCUUGCAGACUAAUGCAAGAAAAUUGGGUUUCAGGUCCUGACCGACUUGGAGCCCAGAGAAACAAAAAGCACUGUCUGUGUAUGUGUAGGUAAGGGAAUAACCCACAGGAUGAGUCAUGAAUGCAGCAUUACUAAUGACCCUACCCACACCACAGCUGCAGAACCUUCCUGCAAGGCAGAAUCAGCUACAGACCUCCCCCAGAUGCCAAGCAGAUCUCAUCAAUACCCUGCAGAGCUGAUGAUCUCGGACAGGCUUUCAGAGCUGCCCCCAGCUUCUAGCUGAGCUGCCUCUGUAGGGACUCCCCAGAAAGAUCUGCUCACUUGCUUUGGCCUCGCAUCUUGCUCCUUGAAACCCACCAGUACCACGGCUUUCUUUCACCUUAAUGUCAGGAAGCUGCAACAGGGAGUCUUGCUAAAUGAGUGAACGCAUGCAAAUAAAUGUAAAGCACGGAGAGUGUGGUGAUUUCUGCAAUCUUCAUAGUGUGGCUAUAGGCCUAUUAGCAUUUUCUUUGAUGGAAUGGCUUUCUUUUGAUGUAGGACAUUGUAUAUAUAUUUUUUUAAUGACCUUUGUGAGGAAAAAAAAAGAGGUGGAAACAGUGCAGUGUUGUUUCUGGAAUGGGCUAAAAAUUGUUUUGCUGCUCUUGUUAAACAAGGAAUGUUUCUUCCAGGGCAACACAAUAGGAGCUGAAAGUGGGAUGAGAGGAAUUUAGAUCCAGAAAAGGGCAUGUAGAAAGCCAGGAUUAAAGAAAGCAGAAGAGCUAAAUUACAGCCAAAGUUGUCUGAUACUGAUAUACUGAAAGCUUUGGAUGGCUGGAAAAUGUAUAGAAGGGCUUCAUAGAAGGAAUCUGUGGAUUUUUCUUUUUGAAUUGAGAUCUGUCAUUCUUUUUUUUUUUCUUUGGAUUUUGCUCUUCUGGUUUGCUACUGUCGCUGUUGCUCAUGUAUUAAAAUUAACCUCUUUUCCUAAGAAUCCUGGUACUUUCUGUUUGCAAACCUAUUCCCAUGUACUGCUGUCUUUUUAAGCCACGAGUUCUCUUGCAGUAGAACCAGGGUAAGAGUUUGCUGUGCCGUCACUGCUCUCCCACUGCUACGGGAUGAUCAUCCUUCUGAACUGGAAGUGUGUGACCCUUUUUGAGAGUUGGUUCUUGUGAACAGUUGAAGUGAGAGAUGCUUCUCAGCACUGCUGAGUCUAUUACAGAAAACGUGUUUGUUAUUUAACAAAACUCACUUGUGUCUGUGGGCUUUAGAAUGCCUUUCUUAUGAUCACUCCUACCAUGCUGAAGUUUCUAUGGUGUCAGGUGCUGUUGCCUGCCUUGAGUUGUAAGAAGAAUGGUGCCCCUGGUUCCAGUGCAAGCAUGGCCAAACAAAUGGGCCAGUUUUAUGAGCAAAAGUAAUGGAUUUUCAGUUGGGGUAUAACAGAUAGAGGCAAUUUACAUCAAUGAAUGCUUACUAAUAUUUUCAUGCUUUUGUUGAAGAAAUUAUAGCAUAAAUUUAUUCCUUCCUCCUCUUCUAGCUUGUAUAUCUGAAAACGGGAAUCACUUUGGUUUUCAAGGAUCACUGGAUACUCACGGAGCAUCUAAACCCAAAAAGUGAUAAUCAUAUUUUAGAAGGCAAGCGAAAAUCACUCCUAACUCUUCCUGUGAGUUGUGUUGUGAAUGGCAUAGUUUGAAUUGCAGAGAAUUGUUGUAGAAGUGUGUUUAGAAAACAUAUUCAAGGAAAGAGUUGAAAACAGGCUUAGUGAACCGAUGGGUUAGGUUUCAUUCUGCCUUUAUCCUUAGCAAAAAGUCUGUCUGAUUAAUGACAUUCUUCAGCAUUUGACAAAAAGGGAAACUCCUGUGACUUCCACGCUUUGCCGAGGCUGGAUUAGGAGUCAGGGAACAGGGAGAGCUGCUGCGCAUGGGCAGAACAGCGUGGAAGAGCUUGCACUAAACUUGACCCAUAUCAGUGCUGCCAAUCUGUCAUUAUUCACAAACACGAGAGACGUCACAUGGCUGGCCCUGCACCCAGCGUUGCUCCAGAAAAUGCUAAAGGCUGGCUUAAUGGAGAGACUUAAUGAAGGGAUUGAUUAUUUCGGUAUUUCCUCCCUUGCCUCCAAGUCUGCUUCAUUCUUGGCUGAGAGGGUUUCGCCUUUCAGACCCUGCCGUGAGGGCAGCAUUUGCCUGUGCUCCGCUGGGAUGAGCUCACAUCGUGAGUACAGCAGCGAAACUGAAGCAUGCAUGAGAUUUGUAAAUGUAAUGAAGGGGGGUAAGGCACGUUUGAAGAUCGUGUUCUGUCCCGUGUACUGGCCUUUGCUAGUAGAAUUCUUAGCGACUGAAAACACAACAGGUACACUGAAAGGGUAUACUGACAGACAUAUUUUAGAACAAUGUUUUAAGUUCCCUUUGAACUGCUUUUUCGUUGACAACAUCUGUGAGAAUGUAUAGUUAUCGUUAUCCUUUCAACUAUACUUAACUAUAAUAAUGGCUGUUUACAAGGGUAAAUAGUGAUAGGACAAGGGGGAAUGGUCUUAAACUGAGACAGGGGAGGUUUAGGUUGGAUAUUAGGAGGAAGUUCUUCACCCAGAGGGUGGUGAUGCACUGGAACAGGUUGCCCAAGGAGGCUGUGGGUGCCCCAUCCCUGGAGGCAUUCAAGUCCAGGCUGGAUGUGUUGCUGGGCAGUCUGGUCUGGUGGUUGGCGGCCCCGCAUAUAGCAGGGGGGUUGAAACUCGAUGAUCAUUGUGGUCCUUUUCAACCCAGGCCCUCCUGUGAUUCUAUGAUUCUGUGAUUCUAUGAUUCAUUUUAGAGCUGAAGGGAUUUUCUGGUGGGAUGUGGGAUGAAUGAAAGAUGGAUAUUCCUGUGUUGGGCCAAACUGAACAGAGAAUGUAUUUCAUAGAUUAUUUUCUCCCAGUCCUGAAAGAAGUGUAUGUCCCUUCAUCCACACGCAUGUCUGCCUGCACGCACACUUCAGACAUUGGCCAACGUUCCACGAAAGGCUUGUGGUUGUCUGUCUAGGCAAAUGUAAAUACCUAACAUUUGUGGCACCUUAAUGAAAGAACUUACUGGAAGUCUUCUUUCACUUCAGAACAUAGCAUUGCAAUGAAACCGAGGUACUGGAAUGAGAAAGGAUAGCAGAGCCAUUUUCUUACUAAAAAUAUUCUGUUUGCUUCAUAAUUUCAGGAAUCGGGACAUGAAUGUCAGGAUAAGGUUGUGACAAGAUGAAUGUUGGUGCUGUAGUCUUUAGUCUGACAGAUGUUUCAGCCGUUCUUUUCAGGCACUGGAUGCCAUGAGUUCUCCUAUUUAGCACUCAUCAGUUCUUUUGCAUGCAGGGUUAGAACAGACACGAUUUCAAAACCAGAUUAGGGCAGCAGCUAGGACAGUUGUGGAGGCCUGAGGAAAUUCGAAGGAUCAUUGUGGAGAUAGUGUUGCAGCAUGAUUGCAUGGUAGGUGAGAGGAAACUGAAGGUAGACAUGGGCAGCUCUCAGUUCCUGAGGGAUAGGGAUAUUGAUGGGAGUUUAGAGGAAACAGGGAUUGCUGUCACUGGAAGCAGUAAUUAACAAGGUCCUUAAAUCCUUAGGAAAACAAUCUUCAUUAGAUGCACUGCUCACCAAGCAACUUUAAUGAAAUACAGCUGUACCUUCAAACCUUUCAAGUUCAGCAUUUUCAGGCAGGGAACCAAUAGUGGAUGAUACAGCCUUUUUCAUUUAUCCAUGAGCACCAUCAGGCCAGGAAGGACUUUUCCAGGACUCAGCACUGGGUGGAAUUAUGUUUACCUGUCUUUUUUGUGUAUGUGUGUGUGUGUGCUGUUUCUUUUAUUAAAAAAUACGUUUUUUACCUUUCAGUGAAGUAAAAAUGACUUAUAAUGGCUCAUUGCUUUAAGUUCUUUCGGUUUUAUUAAAUCUCAGAGGUCUUUGUUUUACUGAUCAAUUUAGAUGUCUACCAAGAAGAGUAGUCUUUUUCAUUUAUUUAAUGUUUGGGUUAAUGGUAAAUGGAAGGAGAAUUAUUCUGGUUGUCCUCCUAGGUGUUUUUCAAGUAAACUGAAUGUCUGUGCAUCUAGUAAAUAAUGCUUUUAUUUUGCAGAGAACAAGGCAAGUGCACGAGGUUUUUCAGAAGUUGCUUAAUUCUUCUUAGUUAAUGUUCAUUAUUUGUUCUUGUGCAGAAAAAUAAAGCUAAAACAUUUAUAUCCCGACUCUUUUAGAUGUGAGGUCCUUAUAAAUGAUGGGAAGCACUGGUUCGAACCACAGGUUUGUCCAAAAAAGCCUCACAAACUGUAGAUACAAAACAUAGCGAAAUGAGAAAUAUUCAAAAGUAAAUAAUGGAUUUUUUUUCUUUAUUCGGUAAAAUUGAGUAGCUGGAAAUAUUGUUUGUUAUUGAAGCUCAGGCACAUAAGCAUGGAUACUUUCCAUAUUCAGCAUAACUUGAAUCAGAGAAAUACAGGCAUUAGAACCAGGAAAGCCAGUGCAGAGAAUCCUCUGUUGCUGCCAAACUGAUUACAAACUAUGCUCCCCACUCACUUUACUAAUGUUUUUCCAGAAUACAAGCAAUAUGAAUGUUUUAUGUAGGAGCUAACUCAUAUGAGCGUUGCUGGUGACUGAAUGUGUCUACCUGAACGGCCUACUGUUAGGCGGUGAGCCUCCUGGGAGCAGCAGGAGCACCCAUCUUGGUGCCCAGGUGCCAGAACAGAUCUCUCUUGAGCAGCUACUCUCCUCUUUGAGGGCUGGGGCUGUGCUGUGCCUGGCUGAGGCCACCUUGGUCCCCUUUGCUGCCUCCCAGUGCUGUGUCAUGAGAGCAGCAGGGAGGUGGGUGCUGUGGGAUGACACCGAGAGCCCACUGACUUCACUAGCUGUUCUCCAUCUCUUUCAGUCUCUUUUUUUUUCCUCUUGGGCUGAACAGCCACCAAGCACAUGAAGUUCAAAAUUAGAAAGCGCUGGAAUCUGUACCUGGGAUGAUGCAACUCUGGAUAUAUAUAGAGUGAGGAUGAGAAGCUUGCGAGCUACCCCACGAAAAGGGAUUUGGAGGUUCUGGUUGACAAGAAGCUAAAUGAGAGCAGUGUGCUCUGGCAACCCAAAGGGCCACCUGUACUCUGGGAUGCGUCAGGCCCAUCACUGCCAGUGGGUGAGGAAAGGGGCUGUGCCGCUCUGCUCUGUGCUGUGUGGCCUCACCUCCAGCACUGGGUACAGGUUUGGGUGCCACACUGUGAGAAGGGCAUAAAACUAUUAGAGAGUGUUCAAAGGAGAGCCUGGAUAACAAAACGUGAGAAGGCCGAGAGGAGGCCUCAUGGCAGCCUAUAGCUCCUCACAGGGAGUGGAGGGGCAGCGCUGAGCUCUGCUCUCUGCUGACAGCGACAGGGCCCAAGGCGAUGGCAUGGAGCUGUGUCAGGAGAGGGUACCCUUGGAGUAGGGGUUAGGAAGAGGUUCUUCACCAGAGGGCAGAGGGCAUGGAACAGUCUGCCCAGGGCAGUGGUCACAGCCCCAAGCUGCUGGAGCUCAAGGAGCGUUUGGACAUCACUCUCAGGCAUAGGCUUUCAAUGUGAAUUCUCUUGUGUGAAACCAGGGGUUGGACUAGAUGAUUCUUAAGGGUCCCUUCCAACUCAGGAUAUACUAUUAUAGCUUAGUACAAAGGUGGUAGGUAGGAGAGGAGCAGCGUGUAGGGCAAUUCUUGGCCAAACCUUUCCUGUUGGACCUCACUGGAGAGGGCUUCUUGUGUAACCAAGCAGCUGAGUCACUAAGUCUGGAGAUAGACUGGGGGUAGUGGAGUCGAUUUAAGUAUCGCUGAAAAAAGCCCAUGUGUUUGAUCUGCCAUGACGCAUGGAACUGCAUUCCUGUCAAUGUAAUGGCAGUCCUCUACUCAAAGCUCUUACUCUUGAAUGAGCCCGUGCUGAAGUCAGCUGUAGAGGUUAAAGAGAUUGUUCCCACGAGCAAGAAUUACUCUGAGUAAGACUUAGAAGGACAGAGCCCGUAGGGUGAAAAAUGUUGCUUGUCCCAGUAAGCCCAAAUCUUAAGACUGUCAAGAGAAAUGAAUUCAAGAUGCUGACAGACAAGGGAAGAUCAAGAGCAAAUUCUAUGCACAUUAAAAAUAGCUGAAUAUGAAGGGACAGAGCAUGCCUCUUAGGCACUGGGCUAAAUUGGAAAUGGGUAGGAAGUCACAUGGUUUCCAACGUGUUACGUAUUUGUACUUGAGACUAGUACCAAAUUACUCUCACCUCUUCAUCUUUCUCUCUGCUCCAGCUCCUGCCUCUACAGCAACUCAUUACUAGUUUGUAUGUCUCAAAUCUGAUGGUAGCGGUGCUCCCCAGUCUGUUGCAUUUGGUGGUGUUUUUAAGCAACAGGCCUUGCUAAGAGAGGAAAAGCAGUAGUCCUCCCAGCUUUGGUAAAUCUCUCCCAGCCAUGUGCUGUGCUGGCUGCCAUGUUCAGCUCUGGCCACGUUAGGCGCUGGUAUUGCUGGACACCUCUUCAUCUGAGGAAACCAGACACCUGUGUUUUCUUUUGGCUUACGUGACACAGUUUUGGACAUAUGACCUCUCUGUCCCAUUCAUGGGAAUGGAAUCUUGCUGUCCACAUCAACAUCCAAGCUUCCCCAGAAAUCUGAAGCAUCCAAUUUUUCAAAGCUCCACCUCUACAUACUCUUGUGUUUAUAAUUAACAUCUUACAAGACGUGAGGAGCAUAUGCUUAGUAUUCUUUUAGAGGAUCCAAACCCUAAUCCCUUUUUCCCCAUAUCUAGUAAAGGAAAUGCAAGCGACAGAUAAAGUUUUUGUGGAUUUCCCUCCAUUGUUUCCCCUACAAUUAAGCUCUCUCUAGAAGUAGAUUGGAGUCCAAGAACCAGCUCAGUGUUAAUUCUUCACCUCACUUCUGAUCCAUCACAUUGAUGCAUCACAUCACACUUUCUUCCAUGGAGAGCUGUUUUCCUCCUUGCUGGUUGUGUUAAUGAAAAGGAGCCCUCAGCCACAAAAGCACAACUUGCCUUUGUUCUUUCUUGUUUGUCUCUCUGAGCUUCUAAAGUACUGUGCUUCUUAAGACCUACUGUUAACUUCGCUUCUGGUGCUUGUCUGCCCUUUGGGUCUCCCAUCCUUACGGAACAGUUUAAGAACACUGAUUUGAGGUACAGCGUUGUCAUUACACAGCAUGGAGUUGCUCUGUUUGAAUGGGAGUCACUGCGGUGUAAGGACUUUCUCUGGUGUGAGAGAUUUGUAAUGGUAGAUGUGGCUCUAUUGGAAAUCAGUGCUCGGCAUUGUUCCUGCGAUUCACAGCAACUCCUAAAGUUGAACAACAGAUGUGUUCCUGCUAUCAGCAAGCCACAGUUUUGGGACCCAAGGCAGAGGAGAAGUUGAGCGACUGCCUUAAUAUCUGGCAGGAAGUCAGUGGCAUAUUUUUUGCUUGCUGGAGUUUUUAAAGCUCUCUGCAAAGCAGACAUUAAACAUACUGAGGUCUGUAUUUGCUAAUAGUAAGAAAGAUUAGCGCCUCAAAAUAAAUCUUUGGAUUCUUUAGGAGUCAUCUUGUCAGCUAGAUUAUUAAUAUUUAUAUGUUAUGGGCAGCUUUUCCAGGUGCGUGAACCUUAGCUGACUCCAAGCUAGGAGCUCUUGCCUUCCUUCCUGCAGGACUGACCACAGCAGGGGCUGUGCACUUUGUGUUUUUAUCCAACUUUGUCUCCUGCAGCAGCAUCGUUAACAGUAGCUCAUCAGAGAUGAAGUGCAGACUUCUUUUUCACUAACAUACAGCCCUUCAGAGUAUCCUUCUGCAGCCCUUUCAGCCUUUCCAAGUUUGAGCUGUUUUCUUUGUUAGCCUGGAGUAAAUGCAUACUUACCUUUAUUACUAGAUCAGCCUAGCCUCUCAACACGGGUGCUCUGGAAAGCGUAAAGUCUCACCAAAUAGGCCAUUGGCAGAGCAUUUAUAAACUGUGCUUUUAGCUAAGUGAUGCUGGACACAGCUCAGCCUCACACCCCCUGCCCUGACCUGUGCAGGCAGUAAGAUGAGGCUAAGGACUGUGAAACGGAGAUACUUAUUGUAUUUUUCUGCUUCAACUGUCGUGACAGUAAAUUGGUGCUUUCCAGUUUUAACACAAAAGUGUUCAAUAAUUCAUGUGUUAUACAUACAGCGUGGUUCCAUUCGCACCAGCCUUUGAGAUAAGGAAAUCCUGAUGGCAAGCAGUAUUCAACUGAAUGCACUUUUACAGAUUAAAAACCAGCUGCUUCCUAAGGCUGAUAUCAAGAGGCAGGGGUUUGCAUCAACAGUAUUGGCUCCUGAAUUCACCCAUGGUAAUCCUGACCUUCUGCACCUUGUGGAAGGACUUGUCUGUUGUUCACUUAAUUGCCUUGAAAACUGCCAAGAAUCAGUAGUUUAAUUAUUUCGGAGCCUGACUUCUGAACAAAAUUGCAACGCCUUGGUAUUGUAUAGACACAC
ensembl:lncRNA